GAAAUGCGAUAAGUAAUGUGAAUUGCAGAAUUCAGUGAAUCAUCGAAUCUUUGAACGCACAUUGCGCUCGCCAGUAUUCUGGCGAGCAUGCCUGUUCGAGCGUCAUUUCAACCAUCAAGCUCUGCUUGCGUUGGGGAUCCGCGGCUGCCCGCGGUCCCUCAAAAACAGUGGCGGACUCGCUAGUCACACCGAGCGUAGUAACUCUACAUCGUUAUGGUCGUGCGGCGGGUUCUUGCCGUAAAACCCCCAAUUUCUAAGGUUGACCUCGGAUCAGGUAGGAAUACCCGCUGAACUUAAGC
rnacentral:misc_RNA from 1 species